rnacentral:rRNA from 1 species
UACGUAGGUGGCAAGCGUUUGUCCGGAUUUACUGGGCGUAAAGAGCGCGCAGGCGGUCGUUCAAGUCGCGUGUGAAAGCCCCCGGCUCAACUGGGGAGGGUCACGCGAUACUGAUCGACUCGAAGGCAGGAGAGGGAAAGUGGAAUUCCCGGUGUAGUGGUGAAAUGCGUAGAUAUCGGGAGGAACACCAGUGGCGAAGGCGACUUCCUGGCCUGUUCUUGACGCUGAGGCGCGAAAGCUAGGGGAGCAAACGGGG